AGAGUUUGAUCAUGGCUCAGAGCGAACGCUGGCGGCAGGCUUAACACAUGCAAGUCGAGCGGGCGUAGCAAUACGUCAGCGGCAGACGGGUGAGUAACGCGUGGGAACGUACCUUUUGGUUCGGAACAACACAGGGAAACUUGUGCUAAUACCGGAUAAGCCCUUACGGGGAAAGAUUUAUCGCCGAAAGAUCGGCCCGCGUCUGAUUAGCUAGUUGGUGAGGUAACGGCUCACCAAGGCGACGAUCAGUAGCUGGUCUGAGAGGAUGAUCAGCCACAUUGGGACUGAGACACGGCCCAAACUCCUACGGGAGGCAGCAGUGGGGAAUAUUGGACAAUGGGCGCAAGCCUGAUCCAGCCAUGCCGCGUGAGUGAUGAAGGCCCUAGGGUUGUAAAGCUCUUUUGUGCGGGAAGAUAAUGACGGUACCGCAAGAAUAAGCCCCGGGCUAACUUCGUGCCAGCAGCCGCGGUA
rnacentral:rRNA from 1 species